AUUGAACGCUGGCGGCAUGCCUUACACAUGCAAGUCGAACGGUAACAGGUCUUCGGAUGCUGACGAGUGGCGAACGGGUGAGUAAUACAUCGGAACGUGCCUAGUAGUGGGGGAUAACUACUCGAAAGAGUGGCUAAUACCGCAUGAGAUCUACGGAUGAAAGCAGGGGAUCGCAAGACCUUGUGCUACUAGAGCGGCCGAUGGCAGAUUAGGUAGUUGGUGGGAUAAAAGCUUACCAAGCCGACGAUCUGUAGCUGGUCUGAGAGGACGAUCAGCCACACUGGGACUGGGACACGGCCCAGCCUCCUACGGGAGGCAGCAGUGGGGAAUUUUGGACGAUGGGCGCAAGCCUGAUCCAGCAAUGCCGCGUGCAGGAUGAAGGCCUUCGGGUUGUAAACUGCUUUUGUACGGAACGAAAAGCCCUGGGUUAAUACCCUGGGGUCAUGACGGUACCGUAAGAAUAAGCACCGGCUAACUACGUGCCAGCCGCCGCCGUAAGAC
rnacentral:rRNA from 1 species